rnacentral:lncRNA from 1 species
CGCCAGUGUUGGAGUGCAGUGAUCUGUGAGAUAAUGAUGGAAAGCAGACAGGGGAAGCCAGGUUAUAAAAAUGUUGGGCAGGAGAUAAGGGGUCCAGGUGGUCAGGAGCAGUGGAGCUGGCCUGAGAGAAGACUGACUCUGGCUAAUGAAGGCCUGUGGCCACAUUCCUGGAGAACAGUGGGAGAGGAAGCCGUGGAGCCAGGAAGUGUCUGUCGGCGGGAACUAAUCCUGGUCACAUUACUACACAAAUGUCCCGGUGGCUUCACAUCAGUCCUGCUGGUCUCUGCAAACUUCCAGGGAGAGCGUGGAACUUCUGCACUACCCGAGGGCUGCAAACACAGUGGCUGUGCCUGGAUUACCCGCGUGUCAGCCAGCAUAGAGGGCAGGAUGAUACACAGUCUGGAACUCAUGCAGGUCCUGCUCCAGACACACUGCCCAACUGCGCGAUAACCCUGACUCUUAACAACAAGAUAGCUGAGAUGAAGAAUCGUUCAUGUUUUGGAUCAAGUCUCCACGAAAGACUGAUGUCUGUGAUUUAUGCUGCUCUCCUUCCCCCGCCGCCAUGCAGAGGUCAUGCUGAUGUCUGUGGUCUGUGCUGCCACUGGAAGGCAGUGUUGAGGUCCGUGGUCUGGAGACCAGGUUGAUUUGAGAAAACAUGUUGAUGUCUUUGGUGCAUGUUGCUACUAGAGACCAUGAUAAUGUCCAUGAUCUGUGCUGGGGCUAGAGAGGUUGAUGUCUGUGAUCUGUACUGCUGCCAGCUACUAUGGGCAGGAAAGCUUCUUUUGCAGUGGUAUUGAUGACUGCAGACUCAUACCUGAGAGUGAGAGACAUAGGUGGCUUCUCAUUCUUUGCCAACCUCCGCUCACCCCCUAUCCCAGAAAAGAAACAGUUCAGGCAUCAAGCUAUAGAAGAGAGUUCUUAAAAUUGUAAUAAAGAUGCUGAAGUGUAGCUCUUCACAGUUGAUGGCUUCUGUGGGUAGGGCCAAGGGGGACCAACACAGAGGAAUCAAUUUUCUUUAAAGGGCUGGCCACGGGAAGUCAAACCAUGUUCAAUUGAGUAUAUGGACAACCCAAACUGAACUUGGUAUUGGAUUUUUUUUUUUUUUUUUGAGGGAAGGCUGGAUCUGGGAGGAAGGGGAAGCAGAUGUCAUAGGGUGAAUUGUAUGAAAUUCUGAAAUAAUGAAUAAAAACAUUAUGUUAGGGAAAAAUAAAAUUCAUUAGAAAUCCAGGAGAUGAACGAUGUUGAUAGCAAGUUCAUGUUCACCUGUGAGACUCACGGACACUUUCCCAUCAUUCAGGAAGUUGUGCAUUUUUAAUGUUUCAUUUUAAUGUGUGGCUUCUCAGAGGGGACAUCUGGCAACAGGAAGUAAAAUCUUCAGGAGGUUCAGUGCUUCCUCUACUGGAAUUUCCAUAAUUAAGAUGUAAACAUUAUACUUUAUAAUAGACAAAAAGCUGGAAACGAUCCAAAUGUUCGGUGAUGUAGCAUUGACUGAGUUAUUGCAUAUUCAUUAGUAAAAUGUGUGCAGAAAUUAAACGCCAUGUUUUCAAAAAACAAAUUUCACAAUGUUCACACCAUAUUGUUGAAUGAAAAGCAGCUGACUCUACAACUGUGCAUAGUAUGAGCUCAAAAGAUGCACAUAUAUCCAUAUAUUUCAGGGUUGUUCAACAGAGAGUAAUUAGCGGUGGCUAUUUCUGUGUUCUUUGAAAAAUCUCUAAAUUUCAUGCUGUGUUGUGUGUGUUAUACAUGUGUGUGUUAUACCGUAAGAUGUGGAUUGUAUAUACCUGUUUGAAUAUAAAAUAUCCAAAGCUACAUUG